GGUCCACCUGUUGGGUCCAGCGCCGGGUGGGUCCCCUCGGUCCUGCCCGUGCCAGCAAGUCCGAGGCCCAGAGUCAGAUCCUUGAGUGCUGACGGCUGGAUUGAGCUCCGCCCGGAUGGCAGGCAUAGUGGGAGACGCCAGUAGAUCCUGGGGGAGCCCAGACAGAGCCUGUUCCCCACCGGACUCCAGCCCUCCCCUGUCCAAGAAACCCUCCCAGUCCCGGGUGCCUGGAGACACCGGUGUGAAUCGGCAUCUGGGAAGGGUCUGUCCGGCCGCCCCCCCCCCGGCCACCCGUGUGACUCGGAGAGAAGGCCUGGGGGGACCAGCGCGGGGGAGGGAGGGCAGGCACCGGGCAAUCCUUCGCUAGCUGUCCGUGGAAUGCCAACUUCAGGGAUGCAGAGAUGAGUGGCUCUGUGCUAGCUGGCUUUGGACAACGCGACACCUCUGGGAAGAGGGACUGUAGCGUGAGAAAACGUCUCUAUAGCGUGUGCCUGCCAUGACUGAUGGAUGUGGGACAGCCCAGAGGAGGUAAGUAGGCAUGGUGUUGGGGUGCGGGGAAGGGAGCGGGCAAGGGAUGAGGGAGUGGCGAGUUGUGGCCAGGGGCCUUCCCACCCCGGGGCAGGCAAUCCUGAGCUGUGUAGGACAGCUGGCUGAGCAAGCCGGUAGGGAGCACUCUCCCACAGACACCUGCUACAGCAGUUCCUGCCUCCGGGAUCCCACCCUGGCUUCCCUCUGGGGAGGGACUUGGGAGCCCUAGGGUGAAACGAACGCUUCUCCGCCCAAGUGGCUUUGGGUCACGGUGUUUGAUCGCAAUAAUACAAACCCUAACUCCGGAGGAACCUGGUUCCUGGAGUGGAGUCUUGCUGUGACAGACCCCAUCACCUGGCCUUCCCCAGGACUGGGAAAGGCCCUUGAACUGUGGGCAGGCGGGCAAAGCAGCUGACUGCUCCAAGCUGCCUGUGCUCCUCUAGGGCAGCUUGGAAGGGAAUGUCAGCUCCACUGGAGCUGAGAAGCCAGCGGUGAUUAAGAAGACAGCAGCGUCCCCGCGCAGAGGUGAAACCUCCCCACCCCCCUACCCUGGGGGGGGGGCGGCUUCCUGAAGAUUAGCAUGCAGAGGCUGAACCCCAUGCCAGCCAGCCAAAUUGAAAACGAGUAGGACUCGCUUAUGUGGUGAUGGCAUUGAAGGUGUGGAAGGAUGGAUCCCAGAGAGCAGCGGAGGCUGGGGGUGGGCGGUGGCUCUGGAGUGCCCAGGGAGAGGCUGAGAGGGGACAUGAGCAAAGGUGCAGCCUCUGGUGAACCCCACUGCGACCGGAAGGGGUGGAACGUGGGGACCAGCCGAGGUCUGGCAUUUCCACAUGGCAUGCUCAGAGAGCCCCCGAAGAGAGCCCAGCAGAGGCAGGCGGUCGCCGGCGAAGGCGGGGGUCUUGGAGAGGCGGGUACCCCGGACAACUACCAAAGGGGAGCAGCUGCCUCAGAGUGGAGCCCAUCUUGGCCUGGGAGAGCAGCUGCAGGAUAAUGAUCGUGCCCGGAUUCUUUCUUCUCCGUGCACAAGUGCCUUUAACUUCAAACAAAACAAAACAAGG